ACUACCGAUUGAAUGGUUUAGUGAGGCCUCCUGAUUGACGCCGAUAUUCUGGCAACAGAGCGUCGGAUGUUGGGAAGUUGGUCAAACUUGAUCAUUUAGAGGAAGUAAAAGUCGUAACAAGGUUUCCGUAGGUGAACCUGCGGAAGGAUCAUUACCGAAAUGUUCAAACGCUAACAAUUUAAGUGCUACACUUAAAUCGUUUACCUUGUGAACCGUACCAAACCUUUAGGGGUCGGCCUCGGUCGUUAAAUGGCAGUUAUUAAAGUGUCGGUAGAGACGGCUUUUAUUUCUGCAGCCCCGGCAUCAUUUUUACUGUAAACGUUUUGAACUGAGAAGAUACGUAAAACGAGCAAAAGAAGACAACUUUUGACGGUGGAUCUCUUGGCUCGCGCAUCGAUGAAGAACGCAGCCAGCUGCGAUAAGUAGUGUGAAUUGCAGAAUUCAGUGAAUCAUCGAAUCUUUGAACGCAAAUGGCGCUCUUGGGUUCUCCCAGGAGCAUGUCUGUCUGAGUGUCGGAUUCCAUCAAUCGCAAGGUGCGCUUUGCGGCGUUGAGGCGUCACAGCUAUUUUACAUCACUAAGCCGUGUCCCUUGAAGUGCAGAGAGACUCUGCGGUACGAGACUAUGUUUCCUCGCGCCGUCAAGGAGGCUAAAGAGUUCUUUUGCCCUCCCCGUGCGCUUGGAGGUCUUGUGCCAUUUGGAGUCGUUUGUGUAACAACUUAUACUUCUUUCUUGACCUCAGAUCAGGCAAGGCUACCCGCUGAAUUUAAGCAUAUUAAUAAGCGGAGGAAAAGAAACUAACAAGGAUUCCCCUAGUAACGGCGAGUGAAGCGGGAAGAGCUCAAAUUUGAAAUCUCCGUUGCUUGCAACGGCGAAUUGUAGUUUCGAGAAGCACUUUCUCGGCGGAUCGGACUUGCCUAAGUUGCUUGGAACAGCACGUCGCAGAGGGUGACAACCCCGUCUGUGGCGAGUCCGGCCGCUCACGAUGUGCUUUCGAA
rnacentral:rRNA from 1 species